AAAUUCUUAGUAUAAUUGAGUAUAUUUAAUUGCAAAUUAAGGGGUUAAGAAUUUUG
rnacentral:tRNA from 1 species